GCCCGGUUGGCGGAAUUGGUAGACGCACUCGGUUUAGGUCCGAGCGCCUCGCGGCGUGGGGGUUCGAGUCCCUCACCGGGCACCA
rnacentral:tRNA from 1 species